UGGAGGCUCUAUCGAAGCUUUCAAUGGUUUAACUAUACUGUACCAUUGUGAGUCAAUAUGAAGCCAAAAUAAAAAUAUUUUCUUAUGGUCGCCAGAUAACAGAUAACCUCCUGUCUUUUGGCAUUACCCAGGAAAAUAACAAAU